rnacentral:rRNA from 1 species
UACGUAGGUGGCAAGCGUUGUCCGGAUUUACUGGGCGUAAAGAGCGCGCAGGCGGUCGUUCAAGUCGAGUGUGAAAGCCCCCGGCUCAACUGGGGAGGGUCAUUCGAUACUGAUCGACUCGAAGGCAGGAGAGGGAAGUGGAAUUCCCGGUGUAGUGGUGAAAUGCGUAGAUAUCGGGAGGAACACCAAUAGCGAAGGCAGCUCGCUGGGACGUAACUGACACUGAGGCGCGAAAGCGUGGGGAGCGAACAGG